rnacentral:rRNA from 1 species
GACGAACGCUGGCGGCGCGCCUAACACAUGCAAGUCGAACGAGCGAGAGGAGGUUUCCUUUCUCAAGCGAGUGGCGAACGGGUGAGUAACGCGUGAGGAACCUGCCUCAAAGAGGGGGACAACAGUUGGAAACGACUGCUAAUACCGCAUAAGCCCACGACCCGGCAUCGGGUAGAGGGAAAAGGAGCAAUCCGCUUUGAGAUGGCCUCGCGUCCGAUUAGCUAGUUGGUGAGGUAAUGGCCCACCAAGGCGACGAUCGGUAGCCGGACUGAGAGGUUGAACGGCCACAUUGGGACUGAGACACGGCCCAGACUCCUACGGGAGGCAGCAGUGGGGAAUAUUGCACAAUGGGGGAAACCCUGAUGCAGCGACGCCGCGUGGAGGAAGAAGGUCUUCGGAUUGUAAACUCCUGUUGUGGAGGAAGAUAAUGACGGUACUCAACAAGGAAGUGACGGCUAACUACGUG